CCUACGGGUGGCAGCAGUGGGGAAUAUUGGACAAUGGGCGAAAGCCUGAUCCAGCCAUGCCGCGUGUGUGAAGAAGGCCUUCGGGUUGUAAAGCACUUUCAGUGGGGAAGAAAGCCUUGGGGCUAAUACCCUCGAGGAAGGACAUCACCCACAGAAGAAGCACCGGCUAACUCCGUGCCAGCAGCCGCGGUAAUACGGAGGGUGCGAGCGUUAAUCGGAAUUACUGGGCGUAAAGCGCGCGUAGGCGGUCUGAUAAGCCGGUUGUGAAAGCCCCGGGCUCAACCUGGGAACGGCAUCCGGAACUGUCAGGCUAGAGGGCAGGAGAGGAAGGUAGAAUUCCCGGUUGAGAGGUGAAGUGCGUAGAGAUCGGGAGGAAUACCAGUGGCGAAGGCGGCCUUCUGGACUGACACUGACGCUGAGGUGCGAAAGCGUGGGUAGCAAACAGGAUUAGAUACCCGUGUAGUC
rnacentral:rRNA from 1 species